rnacentral:misc_RNA from 1 species
GUGAAGAACGCAGCGAAAUGCGAUAAGUAAUGUGAAUUGCAGAAUUCAGUGAAUCAUCGAAUCUUUGAACGCACAUUGCGCCCCCUGGUAUUCCGGGGGGCAUGCCUGUCCGAGCGUCAUUACAACCCUCAAGCUCAGCUUGGUGUUGGGCCCCGCCGCCCCGGCGGGCCCUAAAGUCAGUGGCGGUGCCGUCCGGCUCCGAGCGUAGUAAUUCUUCUCGCUCUGGAGGUCCGGUCGUGUGCUCGCCAGCAACCCCCAAUUUUUUUCAGGUUGACCUCGGAUCAGGUAGGGAUACCCGCUGAACUUAAGCAUAUCAAUAAGUGGAGGA